AUGGCCGCCGCCGCCGCGAAGGUCGGGGCCGCCGUCCUCUCCGCCGGGGCGGCCCUCGCCGCGUCCUCCCAGAGGGUGAACGCGGAGGGCGGCUCGGGGUUCCGCUUCCCCGGCUUCUCCUCCCCCGCCCCCGCCCCUGCCCCCGCACCCGCCCCAGGCGGGCCGCCGCCCGCCGCGCCCGCCGCGGAGGAGGCGCCGCCCAAGCCCCGGAACGACAACCCGCGGACCACCGCCGCGGGGUUCGACCCCGACGCGCUGGAGCGCGCGGUCGAGCUGCUGCGCGAAUUCGAAAAGAGAGAUGAUGCUGAUGUCAAAAAGUCGUUCGCCCAUGCUAACAAGCGGGAGGAGACGCGGCAAGCGGAGUUCGCUGCAAGGAAGGCCGACUACCUGAAGGAGGCUGCGCAGAUCGAGCUCGAGAGGACACGUGUAGAGUAUGAAGAGAAGAAAAAGCUUGCGCAAAGUCAAGCUGAAAUAAAGGCACAAGUAGCUCGAUAUGAGGAUGAGCUACGAAGGAAGAGAGCGCAGCAUGAGCAUGAGGCACAGAGGGCAAGAAACCAGGAGCUCGUGAAGAUGCAAGAAGAAUCUGCAAUUAAGCUAGAACAGCUGAGACGCCAGAGUGAAGAGGAAAUCAAUGAAAUACGGAGACGGACAGAGAAGGAAAAGGCACGAAUAGAGCAGGAGACUAUGAGACUGCAAAAAAUGGCAGAUGCGGAGGCGAAAGCACUUGAACUGCAACUGUCUGAAGAUGUGAAACGGCGAUUGCUUAUUGAGCGGGCAAAUGCUGAGCGGGAGAAGUGGGUCCAAGCAAUAAAUACAACUUUUGAGCAUAUAGGAGGUGGUCUCCGGACGAUAUUAACUGAUCAGAAUAAGCUAGUAGUAGCAGUUGGAGGCGCAACUGCACUUGCAGCUGGGAUUUACACAACAAGGGAAGGUGCAAGAGUAGUCUGGGGUUAUGUUGACCGUAUUCUGGGUCAGCCAUCACUGAUCAGAGAGUCAUCACGAGGGAAGUAUCCUUGGUCAGGUGUCCCUUCACGUGCUAUGAGUACUGUGACUAGCAAACUGAAAAAUGGGAGCAAUCUGGGGAAGGAUGGGAAAGGUUUUGGUGAUGUCAUUCUGAAUCCAUCUCUUCAGAAGAGAGUGAACCAACUAGCUAAUGCCACCGCAAACACGAAGCUUCACCAAGCCCCCUUUAGGAACAUGCUUUUCUAUGGGCCUCCUGGCACAGGGAAAACAAUGGCAGCAAGAGAACUUGCUCGCGAAUCUGGACUAGAUUAUGCACUGAUGACUGGUGGAGAUGUUGCACCAUUAGGAUCGCAAGCAGUCACCAAGAUUCAUCAGUUAUUUGACUGGGCAAAGAAAUCUAAUAGAGGUUUACUCCUCUUCAUUGAUGAAGCUGACGCUUUCCUGUGCGAACGGAACAAGACAUACAUGAGCGAAGCUCAAAGGAGUGCUCUGAAUGCUCUCCUUUUCCGGACAGGUGACCAGUCCAAGGACAUUGUGCUUGCACUAGCAACCAACCGGCCUGGUGACCUUGACUCCGCUGUUGCUGACCGUAUCGAUGAGGUUCUUGAAUUCCCCCUGCCUGGGGAAGAAGAGAGGUCCAAGCUUGUCAAGCUAUACCUUGACAAGUACAUAGUGAAGGCUGGCGAAAAGCGAAAGGGCUUGUUCAGCUUCUUCCGCCGCCAGCCUCAGAAGAUAGCGGUGAAGGGGAUCACCGACGAGUUGAUCCGGGAGGCUGCCGCCAAGACCGACGGCUUCUCUGGAAGAGAGAUUGCGAAGCUGAUGGCGAGCGUGCAGGCCGCUGUGUACGGGAGCACGGAGUGCGAGCUGACCCCGGGCCUGUUCCGCGAGGUUGUAGAUUACAAGGUCGCCGAGCACCAGCAGAGGAGAAAGAUAGCUGGUCAUGCCUAG
rnacentral:rRNA from 1 species